UACGGGGGGAGCAAGCGUUGUUCGGAUUUACUGGGCGUAAAGGGCGCGUAGGCGGCCACCGCAAGUCGGUUGUGAAAUCUCCGGGCUUAACCCGGAAAGGUCAAUCGAUACUGCGGGGCUAGAGUGCAGAAGGGGCAACUGGAAUUCUCGGUGUAGCGGUGAAAUGCGUAGAUAUCAGGAGGAACACCGGUGGCGAAGGCGGGUCUCUGGGCAACAACUGACGCUGAGGAGCGAAAGCGUGGGGAGCGAACAGG
rnacentral:rRNA from 1 species